UCAUUCGUCUGGAAAUCUUCUGCACCGACGCAUUAUUGCAAAUCUGGAUCACGCAGUCAGCGAUUACCUUGUUGAAAAUCAUUCUUUCCUUGCAUCAGAAAAUUAAUUUCAAAUACACAGAUUAGAAUUCUAAUUCAUCUAUGGGAUUUUAGAGUCAUUGUUGCUCAAAUAUCUAUCCUUAACGAAGAUUGUUCGAUGUCGUCGUGAGUUUGUUUUCUAAAUGUUUUCAGCAUUGCAGCUAAGUUAAAAUUUGUUUUUCAAAGGCCGCUGGAUAAUAAAUGUUAUACUUGGUUUAGCAGCAAUUUCAGUUUGGAUAAGGUAGGUAUCUCUCACCUAAUGAUGACACAAUCAUUGACAUCGCAGCACGAAACAAGCACUGCAGGCAAAGCUGCCCGUUGGGGAGUUAAGUGACACGUAAGUAGAAAUGACAAAUGCUACUAAAUGCAUCAGGGAUUUGGGACAUUUAUUCCAAGAAGAUUUUAACUGAAUGUUCUCAGGGAGGAACCCGAAGAUGGCAGCCAGUUUCAUCAAUUACAGAGAUAAAGCAAGAGUACAACCUACAGCAUUCUUUAAAGAACCUAAAUGGACCCAAAAGGU